GACGUAGGGGGCGAGCGUUGUCCGGAAUUACUGGGCGUAAAGGGCUUGUAGGCGGGAUGGCGCGUAGUGGAGUAAAUCUCUCGGCUCAACUGAGAGAGCAUCUGCGAUACGGCCGUUCUUGAGGACAGAAGAGGAAAGCAGAAUUCCCGGUGUAGCGGUGAAAUGCGUAGAUAUCGGGAGGAAUACCAGUGGCGAAGGCGGCUUUCUGGUCUGAUUCUGACGCUGAGGAGCGAAAGCCAGGGGAGCGAACGGGAUUAGAAACCCUGGUAGU
rnacentral:rRNA from 1 species